rnacentral:tRNA from 1 species
AAGUAAGAAGUGAACUAUCGCAGUCAGUUUCGACCUGAAUUUUGGGCUAACCCUUAUUUU